rnacentral:rRNA from 1 species
GAAAUUCGCCUUCCAUGAAGCCGGAAUUGCUAGUAAUGGCAGGUCAGCAUACUGCCGUGAAUACGUUCCCGGGCCUUGUACACACCGCCCGUCACACCAUGAGAGUUGGAGAUACCCGAAGCCUGUGAGCUAAACAAACGAGGCAGCAGUCGAAGGUAGAAUCAAUGAUUGGGGUGAAGUCGUAACAAGGUACC